AGCAGGAGGUGGCUCUGGAACAGCUGCAGCGCCACCUGGAGGCUGUCAGAGAGGCUGUCAGUCAGCUGGACCACAGUAUGAGAAUCCUGCAUGAGGCUGCUACUACCACGCACCAGACUGGACUAGUGGAGCUUCCACAGAUACGGCCUCCAUUAGACGUGGGCCCAGGACCAGAGCU